rnacentral:rRNA from 1 species
CCUACGGGCGGCAGCAGUGGGGAAUAUUGCACAAUGGGCGCAAGCCUGAUGCAGCCAUGCCGCGUGUGUGAAGAAGGCCUUCGGGUUGUAAAGCACUUUCAGCGGGGAGGAAGGCGUUAAGGUUAAUAACCUUGUCGAUUGACGUUACCCGCAGAAGAAGCACCGGCUAACUCCGUGCCAGCAGCCGCGGUAAUACGGAGGGUGCAAGCGUUAAUCGGAAUUACUGGGCGUAAAGCGCACGCAGGCGGUCUGCCAAGUCGGAUGUGCAAUCCCCGGGCUCAACCUGGGAACUGCAUUCGGAACUGGCAGGCUAGAGUCUUGUAGAGGGGGGUAGAAUUCCAGGUGUAGCGGUGAAAUGCGUAGAGAUCUGGAGGAAUACCGGUGGCGAAGGCGGCCCCCUGGACAAAGACUGACGCUCAGGUGCGAAAGCGUGGGGAGCAAACAGGAUUAGAUACCCGAGUAGUC